rnacentral:rRNA from 1 species
UACGUAGGGGGCAAGCGUUGUCCGGAUUCAUUGGGCGUAAAGAGCGUGUAGGCGGCCAGGUAGGUCGGUUGUGAAAACUGGAGGCUCAACCUUCAGACGUCGACCGAAACCAUCUGGCUAGAGUCCGGGAGAGGAGAGUGGAAUUCCUGGUGUAGCGGUGAAAUGCGCAGAUAUCGGGAGGAAUACCUAUGGCGAAGGCAGCUCGCUGGGACGUUACUGACGCUGAGACGCGAAAGCGUGGGGAGCAAACAGG